CGUAACAAGGUCUCCGUAGGUGAACCUGCGGAGGGAUCAUUACACAAAUAUGAAGGCGGGCUGGAACCUCUCGGGGUUACAGCCUUGCUGAAUUAUUCACCCUUGUCUUUUGCGUACUUCUUGUUUCCUUGGUGGGUUCGCCCACCACUAGGACAAACAUAAACCUUUUGUAAUUGCAAUCAGCGUCAGUAACAAAUUAAUAAUUACAACUUUCAACAACGGAUCUCUUGGUUCUGGCAUCGAUGAAGAACGCAGCGAGAUGCGAUAAGUAGUGUGAAUUGCAGAAUUCAGUGAAUCAUCGAAUCUUUGAACGCACAUUGCGCCCUUUGGUAUUCCAAAGGGCAUGCCUGUUCGAGCGUCAUUUGUACCCUCAAGCUUUGCUUGGUGUUGGGCGUCUUGUCUCUAGCUUUGCUGGAGACUCGCCUUAAAGUAAUUGGCAGCCGGCCUACUGGUUUCGGAGCGCAGCACAAGUCGCACUCUCUAUCAGCAAAGGUCUAGCAUCCAUUAAGCCUUUUUUCAACUUUUGACCUCGGGUCAGGUAGGGAUACCCGCUGAACUUAAGCAUAUCA
rnacentral:rRNA from 1 species